GUGGGCGUAGCUCAGCUAGGUAGAGCACUGGAUUGUGGCUCCAGUGGUCGCGGGUUCAAAUCCCGUCGCUCACCCCA
rnacentral:tRNA from 1 species